rnacentral:rRNA from 1 species
GACAGAGGGUGCAAACGUUGCUCGGAAUUACUGGGCGUAAAGCGCGUGUAGGCGGCUUGGCAAGUCGGGUGUGUAAAGCCCUCAGCUCAACUGAGGAAGUGCGCCCGAAACUGCUUUGCUUGAGUGCUGGAGAGGGUCGCGGAAUUCCCCAAGUAGAGGUGAAAUUCGUAGAUAUGGGGAGGAACACCGGUGGCGAAGGCGGCGACCUGGACAGUAACUGACGCUGAGACGCGAAAGCGUGGGUAGCAAACAGG